UAUUUAAAGUUUUAUUUUGGCUUAAAAAUUUAUUAUUAAUUUGAUUUAUAUGUAAAUUUUUGUGAGAAAUUUUAAUAAUUUAAAAAAUUAUUAAAAUUAUUUAUAUCCGCAGUAAUUAAUUUUAUUAAUUAAAGAAAUUUAGAGAUAGUGAUAUUAAAGAGUAUAGAUAAAAUUGGUGCCAGCAAUCGCGGUUAUACCAAUUAUGCAAAUAAAUUUUAUUAGAAAAAGUUAAAUUGUAAAAAUUUAAAUUAAAUUAAAUUUAUUAAGUGAAAUUUUAAAUUUAAAUUUUUUAUUAAAAAUUUUAUUGAAGCUUGAAAAUUUUAAUAAAAAACUAGGAUUAGAUACCCUAUUAUUAAAAAUGUAAAUUAAAAUAUUUAAGUAGUAAUAGUUAUGUUCUUGAAACUUAAAAAAUUUGGCGGUAUUUUAGUCUAUCCAGAGGAACCUGUUUUGUAAUCGAUAAUCCACGAUGGACCUUACUUAAUUUUGUAAUCAGUUUAUAUACCGUCGUUAGCAGAAUAUUUUAUAAGAAUAAUAAUAUUCAAUAAUUUUUAUUAAAAUUUAUAUCAGAUCAAGGUGUAGCUUAUAAUUAAGUUUUAAUGGGUUACAAUAAAUUUAUUUAAACGGAUAAAAUUAUGAAAAAUUUUUUGAAGGUGGAUUUGGUAGUAAAUUUAUAAAGAUAAAUAAAUUGAUUUUAGCUCUAAAAUAUGUACACAUCGCCCGUCGCUCUUAUUAUUAAGGUAAGAUAAGUCGUAACAUAGUAGAUGUACUGGAAAGUGUAUCUAGAAUGA
rnacentral:ncRNA from 1 species